UACGUAGGGGGCAAGCGUUAUCCGGAUUUACUGGGUGUAAAGGGGGCGCAGACGGCGCGGCAAGUCCGGAGUGGAAUCCCAGGGCCCAACCCUGGGGCUGCUCUGGAAACUGCCGGGCUGGAGUGCUGGAGGGGCAGGCGGAAUUCCUAGUGUAGCGGUGAAAUGCGUAGAUAUCACGCAGAACCCCGAUUGCGAAGGCAGCCUUCCGGCGCCCUACUGACGCUGAGGCACGAAAGUGCGGGGAUCGAACAGG
rnacentral:rRNA from 1 species